UACGUAGGGGGCAAGUGUUGUCCGGAUUUAUUGGGCGUAAAGAGCGUGUAGGCAGCCAGACAGGUCCGUUGUGAAAACUCGAGGCUCAACCUCGAGAUGUCGAUGGAAACCGUCUGGCUAGAGUCCGGAAGAGGAGUGUGGAAUUCCUGGUGUAGCGGUGAAAUGCGCAGAUAUCAGGAAGAACACCUAUGGCGAAGGCAGCACUCUGGGACGGUACUGACGCUGAGACGCGAAAGCGUGGGGAGCGAACAGG
rnacentral:rRNA from 1 species